UACGUAGGUGGCAAGCGUUGUCCGGAUUUACUGGGCGUAAAGAGCGCGCAGGCGGUUGUGCAAGUCGCGUGUGAAAGCCCCCGGCUCAACUGGGGAGGGUCACGCGAUACUGUUCGACUUGAAGGCAGGAGGGGGAAGUGGAAUUCCCGGUGUAGUGGUGAAAUGCGUAGAUAUCGGGAGGAACACCAGUGGCGAAGGCGACUACCUGGCCUGUUCUUGACGCUGAGGCGCGAAAGCUAGGGGAGCAAACGGG
rnacentral:rRNA from 1 species